rnacentral:rRNA from 1 species
GCUUGUCUCAAAGAUUAAGCCAUGCAUGUCUAAGUAUAAACAAAUCUAUACUGUGAAACUGCGAAUGGCUCAUUAUAUCAGUUAUAGUUUCUUUGAUGGUUCUUACUACUUGGAUAACCGUAGUAAUUCUAGAGCUAAUACAUGCAUGAACCCCCGACUUUUGAAGGGGUGUAUUUAUUAGAUUAAAAAACCAAUCGUAGCGAUACGUUUUUUGGUGAAUCAUGAUAACUUUUCGAAUCGCACGACAUUGUUGGCGAUGGUUCAAUCAAAUUUCUGCCCUAUCACCUUUCGAUGGUAGUAUAGAGGACUACCAUGGGUAUAACGGGUAACGGAGAAUUAGGGUUCGAUUCCGGAGAGGGAGCCUGAGAAACGGCUACCACAUCCAAGGAAGGCAGCAGG